rnacentral:tRNA from 1 species
GCGGAUGUAGUUUAAGUAAAGAUGCUGCGUUGUGGGUGCAAAGAUGAGCUUGUGCUCCGUUCGUA